AUACGGAGGGUGCAAGCGUUAAUCGGAAUUACUGGGCGUAAAGGGUUCGUAGGCGGUUAUUUAAGUCAGAUGUGAAAGCCCCGGGCUCAACCUGGGAAUUGCAUCUGAUACUGGGUAACUAGAGUUUAAGAGAGGAGUGUGGAAUUUCCGGUGUAGCGGUGAAAUGCAUAGAGAUCGGAAGGAACAUCAGUGGCGAAGGCGGCACUCUGGCUUAAAACUGACGCUGAGGAACGAAAGCGUGGGUAGCAAACAGGAUUAGAAACCCGAGUAGUCC
rnacentral:rRNA from 1 species